UUUGAAGGGACCUGCUCCUAGUACGAGAGGACCGGAGUGGACGCAUCUCUGGUGGACCGGUUAUCACGCCAGUGGUAUCGCCGGGUAGCUAAAUGCGGAAGAGAUAAACGCUGAAAGCAUCUAAGCGUGAAACUCGCCUUAAGAUGAGAUUUCCCUGGGGGUUUAACCCCCCUAAAGAGUCGUUCGAGACCAGGACGUUGAUAGGUCAGGUGUGGAAGCGCA
rnacentral:rRNA from 1 species